AUGGUAGUAACUAUCUUGUCUGUAUGUUUUUCGUCGUCCCUACUCUAUUCUAUAAGAAAUUGUUUCUUACUUCUUGGCUUCUUGCUUUACACCAUUCAAUGUGCACCAGCUAGGCAAUGUGGGCCAUUGUUGCCUUCCUUUUUAACAACACUUUUGAACCUUCUAGGUAAGAUGACAUAUACAUCGAAUGAUGAUUACAUAGCAAUAAUUUUCUUUUGUUCUUUUCACUGUUCAACCAAGCACUCUCGUGGAGGAAAAUUCAUUUCUUCGCACUUUUAA